rnacentral:rRNA from 1 species
UACGGAGGGUGCAAGCGUUGUCCGGAUUUAUUGGGUUUAAAGGGUGCGUAGGCGGCCUUGUAAGUCAGUGGUGAAAGCCUCCAGCUCAACUGGAGAACUGCCAUUGAUACUGCAAGGCUUGAGUACAGACGAGGUUGGCGGAAUUGGUUGUGUAGCGGUGAAAUGCAUAGAUACAAUCAAGAACUCCGAUUGCGUAGGCAGCUAACUAGGCUGUAACUGACGCUGAGGCACGAAAGCGUGGGGAGCGAACAGG